rnacentral:rRNA from 1 species
UUUAUGGAGAGUUUGAUCCUGGCUCAGGAUGAACGCUGGCGGCGUGCCUAAUACAUGCAAGUCGAGCGAACGGAUGAGAAGCUUGCUUCUCUGAUGUUAGCGGCGGACGGGUGAGUAACACGUGGAUAACCUACCUAUAAGACUGGGAUAACUUCGGGAAACCGGAGCUAAUACCGGAUAAUAUUUUGAACCGCAUGGUUCAAAAGUGAAAGACGGUCUUGCUGUCACUUAUAGAUGGAUCCGCGCUGCAUUAGCUAGUUGGUAAGGUAACGGCUUACCAAGGCAACGAUGCAUAGCCGACCUGAGAGGGUGAUCGGCCACACUGGAACUGAGACACGGUCCAGACUCCUACGGGAGGCAGCAGUAGGGAAUCUUCCGCAAUGGGCGAAAGCCUGACGGAGCAACGCCGCGUGAGUGAUGAAGGUCUUCGGAUCGUAAAACUCUGUUAUUAGGGAAGAACAUAUGUGUAAGUAACUGUGCACAUCUUGACGGUACCUAAUCAGAAAGCCACGGCUAACUACGUGCCAGCAGCCGCGGUAAUACGUAGGUGGCAAGCGUUAUCCGGAAUUAUUGGGCGUAAAGCGCGCGUAGGCGGUUUUUUAAGUCUGAUGUGAAAGCCCACGGCUCAACCGUGGAGGGUCAUUGGAAACUGGAAAACUUGAGUGCAGAAGAGGAAAGUGGAAUUCCAUGUGUAGCGGUGAAAUGCGCAGAGAUAUGGAGGAACACCAGUGGCGAAGGCGACUUUCUGGUCUGUAACUGACGCUGAUGUGCGAAAGCGUGGGGAUCAAACAGGAUUAGAUACCCUGGUAGUCCACGCCGUAAACGAUGAGUGCUAAGUGUUAGGGGGUUUCCGCCCCUUAGUGCUGCAGCUAACGCAUUAAGCACUCCGCCUGGGGAGUACGACCGCAAGGUUGAAACUCAAAGGAAUUGACGGGGACCCGCACAAGCGGUGGAGCAUGUGGUUUAAUUCGAAGCAACGCGAAGAACCUUACCAAAUCUUGACAUCCUUUGACAACUCUAGAGAUAGAGC